CGUUGUUCGGAAUUACUGGGCGUAAAGCGCACGUAGGCGGACGCUUAAGUCAGGGGUGAAAUCCCGGGGCUCAACCCCGGAACUGCCUUUGAUACUGGGUGUCUGGAGGUCGAGAGAGGUGAGUGGAAUUCCGAGUGUAGAGGUGAAAUUCGUAGAUAUUCGGAGGAACACCAGUGGCGAAGGCGGCUCACUGGCUCGAUACUGACGCUGAGGUGCGAAAGCGUGGGGAGCAAACAGG
rnacentral:rRNA from 1 species